UUCGAGUGGCGGACGGGUGAGUAACGCGUGGGUAACCUGCCUUACACAGGGGGAUAACACCUGGAAACAGGUGCUAAUACCGCAUAAGCGCACAGGGCCGCAUGGCCCGGUGUGAAAAACUCCGGUGGUGUAAGAUGGACCCGCGUCUGAUUAGCUUGUUGGCGGGGUAGAGGCCCACCAAGGCGACGAUCAGUAGCCGGCCUGAGAGGGCGGACGGCCACACUGGGACUGAGACACGGCCCAGACUCCUACGGAAGGCAGCAG
rnacentral:rRNA from 1 species